CUACGGGAGGCUCCAGUGAGGAAUAUUGCACAAUGGGGGGAACCCUGAUGCAGCAACGCCGCGUGGAGGAUGACGCAUUUCGGUGUGUAAACUCCUUUUAUAUGUCAAGAAAAUGACGGUAGCAUAUGAAUAAGCACCGGCUAACUCCGUGCCAGCAGCCGCGGUAAUACGGAGGGUGCAAGCGUUACUCGGAAUCACUGGGCGUAAAGGACGCGUAGGCGGGUUGGAAAGUCAGGUGUGAAAUCCUACAGCUUAACCGUAGAACUGCACUUGAAACUUCUAAUCUAGAGUAUGGGAGGGGGAGAUGGAAUUAGUGGUGUAGGGGUAAAAUCCGUAGAUAUCACUAGGAAUACCUAAAGCGAAGGCGAUCUCCUGGAACAUUACUGACGCUAAGGCGUGAAAGUGUGGGGAGCAAACAGGAUUAGAUACCCUGGUAGUC
rnacentral:rRNA from 1 species